GUGGGGAAUCUUAGACAAUGGGGGCAACCCUGAUCUAGCCAUGCCGCGUGAGUGAUGAAGGCCUUAGGGUUGUAAAGCUCUUUCAGUGGGGAAGAUAAUGACGGUACCCACAGAAGAAGCCCCGGCUAACUCCGUGCCAGCAGCCGCGGUAAUACGGAGGGGGCUAGCGUUGUUCGGAAUUACUGGGAGUAAAGCGCACGUAGGCGGAUCGGAAAGUUGGGGGUGAAAUCCCAGGGCUCAACCCUGGAACUGCCUUCAAAACUAUCGGUCUGGAGUCCGAGAGAGGUGAGUGGAAUUCCGAGUGUAGAGGUGAAAUUCGUAGAUAUUCGGAGGAACACCAGUGGCGAAGGCGGCUCACUGGCUCGAUACUGACGCUGAGGUGCGAAAGCGUGGGGAGCAAACAGGAUUAGAUACCCUAGUAGUCC
rnacentral:rRNA from 1 species